ACUCUACUCAGGACCAUGCAAAAUUUAAGACUCAAAAAUUGCUUAAUCGUGUAAUUUUUCACUUACCAUGAGUAACUGAAACUAUGGAAAGUGAAACCGCAGAUAAGACAGGGCUACUAUGUCUCCAUUUCUUUGGGAUCAGCUACUUGGUUCUUACAUUGGAUUCAUUUAUCUUAUAAUGGUGGGUAACUGCAGGUGCAGACCUUAAUCUAUAGUACAUGUCAAGCAAUUCAAUUUUUUAUUGUACUGUGAUGGCAUUGCUCUGCUUUUUGGGAGGACUUCCAGCAUUGCUAAUGGCAUUUUGUAUGGGUCCCCUGGUGUUACUUGAGGUUUUAACAUAUUGCACUAAACAUGAUGAAAACAAUGAGAGAUUACUUUUUGCUGUAAUAAACAAUUUACUGGAGAGACAAACCGCUAACACAGAAAGGAUUACUGGCACAUGACAUUUUAAGUGGAUAUUUGCAAGACUUGAGAUCACCACCACAACAACAGGCUUCAAAAUUAUUAUAGUAUUACGCAAGCUGCCAUGCUGUUGGUAGCAUUUUAAAAAGACAAGCAUGGCGAAGAAAGGAUAUCUCUGCCAAGCAGCCAGGAACAUCCUGAGGCCUGUCAGCAGCCCUUUCCGUGAAACUGGAAAUGGAUCUUCCCCUUGUGAUGACUACAGUCCCAACUGAGAGCUUGACUGCAACCUCAUGAGCAGCCCUGAGCCAGAGACACUGAGCUAAUUUCUGCCUGAAUUCCUGAUUCAUGGAAAUUAUGGGCUAAUAAAUAUAUCUCAUUUUAA
ensembl:lncRNA novel transcript